UACGGAGGGUGCAAGCGUUGCUCGGAAUUAUUGGGCGUAAAGGGUAGGUAGGUGGUCUCAUUUGUCUGGGGUGAAAGCCUUGAGCUUAACUCAAGAAGUGCCCCAGAAACGGUGAGACUGGAGUCCUGGAGAGGGUCGUGGAAUUCCCGGUGUAGCGGUGAAAUGCGUAGAGAUCGGGAGGAACACCAGAGGCGAAAGCGGCGACCUGGACAGGCACUGACACUCAACUACGAAAGCGUGGGGAGCAAACAGGAUUAGAACCUCGUAGUCA
rnacentral:rRNA from 1 species